GCCUAGAUAGUUUAGUCGGUUAGAGCGUGGUGCUGAUAACCAAGGUUGCAGGUUCGAUCCCCUAUGGGACG